UUUCAGGUGCGCCGGAUUUAGCCAGUUUUUCAGCAGUGGCAAAUGUGUGAUCCAACUGAGUGAGCCACUCCUGAAGUAUAGGCCUAGGAGAGAUCUUGUUCAAUCUUUACUUCAUGAGAUGAUUCAUGCGUUUCUGUAUUUAACUGGGAUCUUUGAAACAACGGAGCAUGGGCCAGAGUUCCUGUCACAUAUGGAACGUAUUAACUCAGCAGCAGGUUGCAGAAUUUCUCUUCAACAUAACUUCAAAGACGAAGUUAGUCAUUAUGACACCAGUUGGUAUCGCUGCAACGGACCCUGCCAAGCAAAAAAGCCAUACUACGGAUUUUAUGUCCAUCUAACUAAAAAUGCGCCAUCUUGGUGGGGCAACCAUAAAGCUGUGUGUGAUGGGAAAUUUAGAAAAGGACCACGUCCUCCGUUGUCCAUGCUGCGAGGGAAAGCACCUAAAUCAGUGCGAUAAGAACUUAUCUCUAUACCAUCUUGGAGGGAUCGUCAUCCUCAUAAUGACAAGGAUCCCUUCACACAAGAGAUUUAAAAGCAAUUCCUAAUCGCUGCCUCAAUCUCGUAACCUGGAUAAAUAUAAACCUAUUGACACUAUAUACUGAAAAGCAGGAGCCCAUGAGGAACCUGAUGGAGCCGUAUACAAAAUCAUCUGCAUCACCGACUGAACCUAAAACAGUGACUCAUAAGCUCAUGGCUAUUAAAAUAAGGCCAUAUACAAAAUAUUCAGAUAGUUCUAGAUUACAAACUAACUACCAAAAGUUACCCCUUAGUCACUAUAUGUAAAAUCCCAAUUGAAGUAUA